rnacentral:rRNA from 1 species
AAUGAACGCUGGCGGCAGGCCUAACACAUGCAAGUCGAACGGAUCCUUCGGGAUUAGUGGCGGACGGGUGAGUAACGCGUGGGAACAUACCCUUUGGUACGGAAUAGCCUCGGGAAACUGGGAGUAAUACCGUAUGUGGUCGAGAGACGAAAGAUUUAUCGCCAAAGGAUUGGCCCGCGUUGGAUUAGGUAGUUGGUGGGGUAAUGGCCUACCAAGCCGACGAUCCAUAGCUGGUUUGAGAGGAUGAUCAGCCACACGGGGACUGAGACACGGCCCAGACUCCUACGGGAGGCAGCAGUGGGGAAUCUUAGACAAUGGGGGAAACCCUGAUCUAGCCACGCCGCGUGAUCGAUGAAGGCCUUAGGGUUGUAAAGAUCUUUCAGGUGGGAAGAUAAUGACUGUACCACCAGAAGAAGCCCCGGCUAACUCCGUGCCAGCCGCCGCCGUAAGAC